GGCCAGACUCCUACGGGAGGCAGCAGUGGGGAAUAUUGCACAAUGGGGGAAACCCUGAUGCAGCAACGCCGCGUGAGUGAAGAAGUCAUUCGUGAUGUAAAGCUCUAUCAGCAGGGAAGAAAAUGACGGUACCUGACUAAGAAGCCCCGGCUAACUACGUGCCAGCAGCCGCGGUAAUACGUAGGGGGCAAGCGUUAUCCGGAUUUACUGGGUGUAAAGGGAGCGUAGACGGUUAUGCAAGUCUGAAGUGAAAGCCCAAGGCUCAACCAUGGGACUGCUUUGGAAACUGUAAAACUGGAGUGCAGGAGAGGUAAGCGGAAUUCCUAGUGUAGCGGUGAAAUGCGUAGAUAUUAGGAGGAACACCAGUGGCGAAGGCGGCUUACUGGACUGUAACUGACGUUGAGGCUCGAAGGCGUGGGGAGCAAACAGGAUUAGAUACCCUUGUAC
rnacentral:rRNA from 1 species